rnacentral:rRNA from 1 species
GACGAACGCUGGCGGCGGGCUUAACACAUGCAAGUCGAACGGAAAGGCCCUGCUUUUGUGUGGUGCUCGAGUGGCGAACGGGUGAGUAACACGGGAGUAACCUGCCCUUGACUUUGGGAUAACUUCAGGAAACUGGUGCUAAUACCGGAUAGGAGCUCCUGCUGCAUGGUGGGGGUUGGAAAGUUUCGGCGGUUGGGGAUGGACUCGCGGCUUAUCAGCUUGUUGGUGGGGUAGUGGCUUACCAAGGCUUUGACGGGUAGCCGGCCUGAGAGGGUGACCGGCCACAUUGGGACUGAGAUACGGCCCAGACUCCUACGGGAGGCAGCAGUGGGGAAUAUUGCACAAUGGGCGGAAGCCUGAUGCAGCAACGCCGCGUGCGGGAUGACGGCCUUCGGGUUGUAAACCGCUUUCGCCUGUGACGAAGCGUGAGUGACGGUAAUGGGUAAAGAAGCACCGGCUAACUACGUG